rnacentral:rRNA from 1 species
UACGAAGGGGGCUAGCGUUGCUCGGAAUCACUGGGCGUAAAGGGUGUGUAGGUGGCGCCGUAAGUCGGGUGUGAAAUUUCGGAGCUUAACUCCGAAACUGCAUUCGAUACUGCGGUGCUUGAGGACUGGAGAGGAGACUGGAAUUCAUGGUGUAGCAGUGAAAUGCGUAGAGAUCAUGAGGAAGACCAGUGGCGAAGGCGGGUCUCUGGGCCGAUACUGACGCUGAGGAGCGAAAGCGUGGGGAGCAAACAGG